GAUGAACGCUGGCGGCGUGCCUAAUACAUGCAAGUCGAACGAGGAGUCUUUGUAGCAAUACGGAGGCUUCCUAGUGGCGAACGGGUGAGUAACGCGUUGGUGACCUGCCCCAAAGUGUGGGAUAACAGACCGAAAGGUUUGCUAAUACCGCAUGUGGUCAUCGGAUUUAGAAACCGGUGACUAAAGCAGUAAUGCGCUUUGGGAGGGGCCUGCGUCCCAUCAGCUAGUUGGUAGGGUAACGGCCUACCAAGGCUACGACGGGUAGGGGACCUGAGAGGGUGGCCCCCCACAAUGGAACUGAAACACGGUCCAUACACCUACGGGAGGCAG
rnacentral:rRNA from 1 species